UUUCCAUUCCCUUUGGUGGUUUCUGAUAUUGAACAAUUUGGAACUCUCUUGUUAUGACUCCAUGAUCUCUUGGGAAUUUGAAGGGUCCUCCGACUCAUCAGGUGACACAAUUAUGCCUGUAUGUGUUGAUUUGAUUGAUGUACAAAUCUUCAAUAAAAACUUUUUCUUGACUCGGAAGGAAGGAGAGAAGGAACAAACAAACAAAAGAAGAAAAGGAAGGAAGAAAGGAAGAAAGAAAAGACAAGAAAGGAAGAAUCCAUUAGGAUGGAUUGGAUUUCAGGGUUUUGUUUGGGAGUUUUUUAUCUUUUAAAGAAUUAUGAACUUGACAAAUAUUAAUAAACACAAUCAUUUCCAUGUAAAAA